AGAGUUUGAUCCUGGCUCAGAAUGAACGCUGGCGGCGCGCUUAACACAUGCAAGUCGAACGAGAAAUCUCGAGUUUGCUCGGGAGAGUAAAGUGGCGCACGGGUGAGUAACGCGUGGGUAACCUGUCCUUAAAUUUGGGAUAAUCCACCGAAAGGUGGCCUAAUACCAAAUACAGUCCUGAGAACCAAGGUCCUUGGAUGAAAGCUGACCUCUUCAUGAAAGUUGGCGUUUAAGGAGGGGCUCGCGUACCAUUAGCUUGUUGGUAGGGUAAUGGCCUACCAAGGCUACGAUGGUUAGCUGGUCUGAGAAGAUGGCCAGCCACACUGGAACUGAAACACGGUCCAGACUCCUACGGGAGGCAGCAGUGAGGAAUCUUGCGCAAUGGGGGAAACCCUGACGCAGCGACGCCGUGUGAGUGAAGAAGGCCUUCGGGUCGUAAAGCUCUGUCAAGUGGGAAUAAAGUCUCUUGGUGAAUACCCGAGGGAUUUGAAGGUACCACUAAGGGAAGCACCGGCUAACUCCGUGCCAGCAGCCGCGGUAAUACGGAGGGUGCAAGCGUUAUUCGGAUUUAUUGGGCGUAAAGAGCGUGUAGGCGGUUGGGAUAGUCAGACGUGAAAGCCUUCUGCUCAACAGAAGAAGUACGUCUGAAACUGCCCAACUUGAGUACGAGAGAGGAAAGUGGAAUUCCCAGUGUAGAGGUGAAAUUCGUAGAUAUUGGGAGGAACACCUGCGGCGAAGGCGACUUUCUGGAUCGAUACUGACGCUGAGACGCGAAAGCGUGGGGAGCAAACAGGAUUAGAUACCCUGGUAGUCCACGCCGUAAACGAUGUUCACUAGGUGUUGGGGGUAUUGACCCCCUCAGUGCCGUAGCUAACGUAUUAAGUGAACCGCCUGGGGAGUACGGUCGCAAGACUAAAACUCAAAGAAAUUGACGGGGGCCCGCACAAGCGGUGGAGCAUGUGGUUUAAUUCGAUGCGACGCGAAGAACCUUACCUGGGCUUGACAUCCCAAGAAUCUCCUGGAAACAGGAGAGUGCCUCUUUGAGGAGCUUGGUGACAGGUGCUGCAUGGCUGUCGUCAGUUCGUGCCGUGAGGUGUUGGGUUAAGUCCCGCAACGAACGCAACCCCUGUGGUUAGUUGCCACCACCGGUGAUGAGCCGGUGAGCACUCUAGCCAGACUGCCCGUGCAAGCGGGAGGAAGGUGGGGAUGACGUCAAGUCAGUAUGGCCCUUACGCCCUGGGCUGCACACGUGCUACAAUGGUCGGUACAGAAGGAUGCAAUGCCGCGAGGUGGAGCAAAUCCUCAAAGCCGACCCCAGUUCGGAUUGGAGUCUGCAACUCGACUCCAUGAAGUCGGAUUCGCUAGUAAUGGCGCAUCAGCUACGGCGCCGUGAAUGCGUUCCCGGGCCUUGUACACACCGCCCGUCACAUCAUGAAAGCCGUCUGCACCCGAAGUCACUGAGCUAACCUUUUAUUAGGAGGCAGGUGCCGAAGGUGUGGGUGGUGAUUGGGAUGAAGUCGUAACAAGGUAACC
rnacentral:rRNA from 1 species